GUUUCAAAACAGUGAUGAAAGGAGGUCGUCCUUCCGAGCAGCAUCUUAAGGAUAAUAUCUUUUCUGUCAUUUCCUUCUAAGAGGAAAACAAUAUUUCACAUUCCCCACCUUCAAUAUUCCAGAACCUGUUGAAAGAAGAUGCAAAUCAUCUUGAAAAUAGCAUCAUGGAAAAACACACUGCUAGUUGAAGGCAGAUAUUCUUAUACCUACUGACUGAUUUCAGAUUGCUACUUCAGAGAGAAAGAGCUCCCACUGCCUGCUUACAGCCAACCAGUUAGAGGAAAGGCCCUAAUUAUCCUUCCAAGUUCUGGCACUCAGACUCUAUCUAUUUCUUCUUUUGGCUCCAGACCAAACAAAAUGUGAAAAGAAAAAAAAAAAAAAAAAAGUCAAGAAAAAAUGCAACAGGGCAAUAAUGCUUUUCUGUGUGGCACACGAUCAGAAAAUUACUUCCUCUCUACAAAAUACUGAUGUUAACUUUCUUCCAGUGAUCAGAAGUUUAAGAUUUCAUACAAUGCUUAAUGAAUAAAACCCUAUUCGCAUA